UACGGGAGGCAGCAGUGGGGAAUAUUGCACAAUGGGCGCAAGCCUGAUGCAGCCAUGCCGCGUGUAUGAAGAAGGCCUUCGGGUUGUAAAGUACUUUCAGCGGGGAGGAAGGCGAUGCGGUUAAUAACCGCGUCGAUUGACGUUACCCGCAGAAGAAGCACCGGCUAACUCCGUGCCAGCAGCCGCGGUAAUACGGAGGGUGCAAGCGUUAAUCGGAAUUACUGGGCGUAAAGCGCACGCAGGCGGUCUGUUAAGUCAGAUGUGAAAUCCCCGGGCUUAACCUGGGAACUGCAUUUGAAACUGGCAGGCUUGAGUCUUGUAGAGGGGGUAGAAUUCCAGGUGUAGCGGUGAAAUGCGUAGAGAUCUGGAGGAAUACCGGUGGCGAAGGCGGCCCCUGGGACAAGACUGACGCUCAGGU
rnacentral:rRNA from 1 species